GCGCCCGUAGCUCAGUUGGAUAGAGCGUCUGCCUUCUAAGCAGGGGGUCGCCAGUUCGAGUCUGGCCGGGCGCG
rnacentral:tRNA from 1 species